GAUUGUUUCUUUUUCUGAGAAGAAACUUUUUAUUUUGAAUCCAUCCCAUUUAUUGAUUCUUGAUUUUAAUUCUUGCACUAUAGGAGUUUUAUUAAGGAAGUUGGGGCCUAAUCCGACAUGAAGGAGAUUUGGGCCUACUUUUUCUUCUAUUAGACACAGGGUCUCUGGUUUAAUUCCUAGGUCCUUGAUCCACUUUGAGUUGAGUUUUGUGCAUGGUGAGAGAUAGGGGUUUAAUUUCAUUUUGUUGCAUAUGGAUUUCCAGUUUUCCCUGGACCAUUUGUUGAAGAGGCUAUCUUUUCUCCAAUAGAUGUUUUUGGCACCUUUGUCUAAUAUAAGAUAACUGUAUUUAUGUGGGUUUGUCUCUGUGUCCUCUAUUCUGUACCAUUGGUCUGCAAGUCUAUUUUGAUGCCAAUACCAUGCUGUUUUUGUUCAUUUAUAGCUCUGUAGUAUGGUUUAAGGUCUGGUCUAUUAUUCUUUUAGCUGCUCACUUUGCUUCAGAAAGUCCUGGUUCCAUGAGGCUGUUGAACUAGGAGGUGCAUUUCCUCUUCUCUGCCAGGAGCUCAGUAUUUAGCUUCUGUGGUGUAGAAGGAGGUAGCAGGGAGGUAACCACCUGGGGAAAAGGCUCAAAAUCAUUGCAAGGUUGAGCUCUGCACCAAAAGUCUUCCAGUCUUUUUGGGAAGACUGGUGUCAUAGCUGUGCCCUCAGGGAGAUCUAGAUGUGAAGAAAUCUGACUUGCUUUUCACUUUAGAAUACAAAGAGGUAUGGAAGGUCACGCUCUUGGUUAGGCUGUGUUUGCUGGCAAAGGCUGUCCCUCCCCAGAGCUUAACAACAGGAGUGCUUUCCAGGGAACUGUAGAGGUGGCUGAAAAGACAUCCUUCUCUCUUGCUGUGCUGCAACACUCCUUGGGCAUUACCUGACUCUUCAAAAAGAACUGAGUUUUAGGGUCUUUGCAGUAUACUGCUGGGUUUUAUUAGUGGGGCUGAUCAAAAAGGGGUCCAGGAGAGAAAUAAGUGAACUCUAUGAGUUUCAUUCCAAGUUCUGGCAAAGAACACCUCUUGGGUGGACUAGAGUGAGGACAUUAGUCACAGCAAAAAGACGGUCAAUUUGCAGGGUGGUAGGGAAGAUCCAAGUCCUACAAAGUAAUACCAACCUGCACUCUCACCAACAGAGAAAUUAAGAGGCAGUUCUUAGAGUGGGGAAGAGAAGGAGUCCUAAACGCUAUCCCAAAGAAGACUUGGAACUUGCUUGGGACACCGGGGAAACCAAGGCACAUGUGCAAAUUUCACACGCAGGCAUGCACACCCAUAGAAUCAGACACAAGCAGUCACAGAGGAACUUUCAUACUAAUUUCUGAAGUGGUUACACUAAUUUACAUUUCCACCAAUAAUAUAAAAGUGUUCCUUUUUCUCUACAUUCUCUCCAGCACUUCGACUGCCAUUAUGAACUGGACAAAACAAAUAUUUAGGACAGUGCCAAGAAAACAGAAGAUAUUCCAUAGAUGCCGGUAGUAAUCAAGUCACAGAGGCUUCAACCAGUAAUCCAAGAUUUUGCAGUCAGAAAAUCUUUUACUUUUAGCAUACAUGCAAUUUUUUACACUUGAUCAUUUACAAAAGAGGAUAAGGGACAGAAACUAUGAACUCUUUUUAGCUUAGGAUCCCUAAAUAUGUAGAGAGACCACGGGCCACACACCUAUCAGUGCUUGGAGAUGCUCAGUUUCAAAGCUCCCCAGACCCCUCCCAGGUCUGAUAGAGACAAAGGCACCAAGUGAAUUCCUGCUUAGCCAUCCAUUCACCUCCCCUGGGUUCCCUCCAACAUGGAAAGAUACACUGACUUGAGACCACAUUGAGCCAGAGGAAACUGAAAGAACAGCUGUGUUCUCUUCACCCUUGAAAAAACAGAGACUAGACUCAGAGGGAAGCAUGGGUUCAAGGUCACAGGACCACUUGGGUGCAGAGAUAGGAGCAGCAGCCACACCCUGGUCCUCUUUCCACCCCUUCCUUCUUGCCAUUCUGCCUACACUGAAGGAAAGAGGUGGGUGGGUGUUCAAGGAAUGCAAACCCAUGCUUAUGUUUGAAUAUUAAAAUUUAAUAUUGUAAUUUUAGCCUAAAACAAGACUGAAUUUAAAAGGUACAUCUGCUGCUGCAAAAAAAAUAAAUAAAUAAAUAAAUAAUGCAGUUUUAACCU
rnacentral:lncRNA from 1 species